AUUGAACGCUGGCGGCAGGCCUAACACAUGCAAGUCGAACGAGUGGCGGGAGGGUUAGUAAUGUCUGGGAAUCUGCCUGAGGGAUGGGGAUCAGUACUGGGAACUGUAGCUAAUAACGCAUACCAUCAGAUAUGUCCGGGUGGGAAUAUCUUGUUGGUGGGGUAACGGCUAACCAAGGCCACGAUCCCUAGCUGGGCUAAGAGGAUGACCAGUCACACUGGAACGGAGACACGGUCCAGACUCCUACGGGAGGCAGCAGUGGGGAAUAUUGCACAAUGGGCGCAAGCCUGAUGCAGCCAUGCCGCGUGUAUGAAGAAGGUCUUCGGGUUGUAAAGUACUUUAAGCGGGGAGGCGUUACCCGCAGAAUAAGCACCGGCUAACUCCGUGCCAGCCGCCGCGGUAAUUC
rnacentral:rRNA from 1 species